UGUGUGAAGAAGGCCUUCGGGUUGUAAAGCACUUUCAGCGGGGAGGAAGGCGAUAAGGUUAAUAACCUUGUCGAUUGACGUUACCCGCAGAAGAAGCACCGGCUAACUCCGUGCCAGCAGCCGCGGUAAUACGGAGGGUGCAAGCGUUAAUCGGAAUUACUGGGCGUAAAGCGCACGCAGGCGGUCUGUCAAGUCGGAUGUGAAAUCCCCGGGCUCAACCUGGGAACUGCAUUCGAAACUGGCAGGCUAGAGUCUUGUAGAGGGGGGUAGAAUUCCAGGUGUAGCGGUGAAAUGCGUAGAGAUCUGGAGGAAUACCGGUGGCGAAGGCGGCCCCCUGGACAAAGACUGACGCUCAGGUGCGAAAGCGUGGGGAGCAAACAGGAUUAGAUACCCCGGUAGA
rnacentral:rRNA from 1 species